GUGCCUCAAUCUAUUGAGUAAGGAAAUUAUUGGGCCUUGGUAACGCUUGGCUAUGCCUUCAUUGGCGUCCAUAUUUUUUAAGGGUACAGGUCGUCCUCUUGAGUCAUGCACCUACUUUGUGCGUGGUUCGGGUGAAGCGAUCUGCCUU